UUUUGCUUAAGUGAAAAAUAUGUUGAGGUUUGCUGGGUCCAAUUUUCAAUUUUCUCUGAUAGUAAUAGCUACAUUACUUGAGUAAUACUAUUUAAAAGUAACCCUACUCUGGAGAACAAUUUCUGGAUGCUCUACCCAUCUAAGAGCGACUUUUUUGAGCUUUACAUCAUGUUAUGGAUGUUUGAUUAAUCUCCCAUGUUGUUAACGGCUUAAUGGAGAAACAUCCUGAAGGCAGAAUGUCAGAAAUUCACAAAAGAACCUGGCUCCUCAGAGGCCCGUUUCCAAGCAUGUUUAUAGAAAGUUAAGUGGAAGGAAAACGUGCACCAGUAACAAGAACGAUCAAUGCAGCAGAUAUUCCCUUACAGAGUCAGGAACGUUCAGGUCACACACAGCUGAGUGACAGCGGGCUCCUAAAUGCUGACGCACAGCAC